rnacentral:rRNA from 1 species
UCUGAGAGUUUGAUCCUGGCUCAGAACGAACGCUGGAGGCGUGGCUAAGACAUGCAAGUCGAACGGUAUGCUUGUUUUCGGAUAGGCAUAUAGUGGCGAACGGGUGAGUAAUGAAUAGAUAACGUACCCCGGUCUCAGGGAUACCAACGGGAGCUUGCUCCCUUUGCGAAAGUGUUGUUAAUACCUGAUGACGUUUAGUGUAGGCAUCUACGCAAAAUCAAAGGUGGGGACCUUCGGGCCUACUGGACUGGGAGCGGUCUAUUUCCUAUCAGCUAGUUGGUGAGGUAAAGGCUCACC